AGACUGGGAUAACUUCGGGAAACCGGAGCUAAUACCGGAUAAUAUUUUGAACCGCAUGGUUCAAAAGUGAAAGACGGUCUUGCUGUCACUUAUAGAUGGAUCCGCGCUGCAUUAGCUAGUUGGUAAGGUAACGGCUUACCAAGGCAACGAUGCAUAGCCGACCUGAGAGGGUGAUCGGCCACACUGGAACUGAGACACGGUCCAGACUCCUACGGGAGGCAGCAGUAGGGAAUCUUCCGCAAUGGGCGAAAGCCUGACGGAGCAACGCCGCGUGAGUGAUGAAGGUCUUCGGAUCGUAAAACUCUGUUAUUAGGGAAGAACAUAUGUGUAAGUAACUGUGCACAUCUUGACGGUACCUAAUCAGAAAGCCACGGCUAACUACGUGCCAGCAGCCGCGGUAAUACGUAGGUGGCAAGCGUUAUCCGGAAUUAUUGGGCGUAAAGCGCGCGUAGGCGGUUUUUUAAGUCUGAUGUGAAAGCCCACGGCUCAACCGUGGAGGGUCAUUGGAAACUGGAAAACUUGAGUGCAGAAGAGGAAAGUGGAAUUCCAUGUGUAGCGGUGAAAUGCGCAGAGAUAUGGAGGAACACCAGUGGCGAAGGCGACUUUCUGGUCUGUAACUGACGCUGAUGUGCGAAAGCGUGGGGAUCAAACAGGAUUAGAUACCCUGGUAGUCCACGCCGUAAACGAUGAGUGCUAAGUGUUAGGGGGUUUCCGCCCCUUAGUGCUGCAGCUAACGCAUUAAGCACUCCGCCUGGGGAGUACGACCGCAAGGUUGAAACUCAAAGGAAUUGACGGGGACCCGCACAAGCGGUGGAGCAUGUGGUUUAAUUCGAAGCAACGCGAAGAACCUUACCAAAUCUUGACAUCCUUUGACAACUCUAGAGAUAGAGCUUUCCCCUUCGGGGGACAAAGUGACAGGUGGUGCAUGGUUGUCGUCAGCUCGUGUCGUGAGAUGUUGGGUUAAGUCCCGCAACGAGCGCAACCCUUAA
rnacentral:rRNA from 2 species